UAACCUACCCAUCAGAGGGGGAUAACACUUGGAAACAGGUGCUAAUACCGCAUAACAGUUUAUGCCGCAUGGCAUAAGAGUGAAAGGCGCUUUCGGGUGUCGCUGAUGGAUGGACCCGCGGUGCAUUAGCUAGUUGGUGAGGUAACGGCUCACCAAGGCCACGAUGCAUAGCCGACCUGAGAGGGUGAUCGGCCACACUGGAACUGAGACACGGUCCAG
rnacentral:rRNA from 1 species